ensembl:lncRNA
AUCAAGGCUGGCCUUAACAUCUACAGAGAAAUGCACAGAAGAUAAAAAAGAGAAGCAAAAAAAUUGAUGAUCACAAAGAAAGGAACAGAGGAAUGUAAUGAAAUAUUUGUGGAAAUGGCUAAACAUCCGAUUUCAAUAAAAAUAAUUUUUCACCCAAGUAUCAAGAGGAAAAGUUGGAAGAACUGGCUGUUGUCAUCUCAGAAGCCAUAUGCCUAUGCAUUAGAUGCUUAUGCACAAUGCCCACUUUGCUUUGCAGAGCUGAAAGUGAAACGCUUUACUAGGCUCAGAUGAACCUGAUGGCAUCAGUGUCUGGUGGCACAACCCCACGUAUGAACUCUAAGAAUCCUCUUCACACUGAAGAGAUACAGCAAUCUCUUACUUCAAAAGUUCAUCUCUGUGUUCCAUUGCUAAAAUUGAAUGUAUUAUAGAGGUAGGUUCUCAGCCAUGUGGAACUGUAGGCUGUGCUUUGUUUCAUACUGUAUUAAAUAUUAGUAAAGUGAGCUGGUAAUGUUAAGAAAUCAUGAAAACUACAUUCUCUUUCAAAUAAGGAAUAUUUAAGAUCAAAAUUAUCAUUCUGUGCAUUGAGAAGGUUGGUGGGUUUUUUUGUUUUGUUUGUUUGCUCGUUUGUUUGGUGGCAUCCAGUGCUUAUAUGGUUUGCUAUAACUUUACCAAACUUCUCUAAAUAGCAAAUUAAAUUCCUUAUACGGUCAAUUGUACUGUCUUUUGAGAAAUUCUUUGCCUUUUUGUCCACUGUGCUCCCUUUCGCCAUAUUUUCUUUUUGAAUUGAUUUUGCUACUAUUACUUUAUUCUUCAACUGAAAUUCUGCUGAAAUUGAAAUUACUAUUGCUGAGGCACCAUUAAUGUUGAUAUAGAAUUUUAAGAACCAUAAGCAUUAAAUACAGCUUUGCUGCCCUCAGUGAAAGAUGUUGCCAAUCAAUUCACGUCUGACAUUCCUGAAAAAAGCACAACAGAUGACAGAAAGAAUGUAAAGACCAAAGAAAUGUUAUAAAUGCCAAAAUAAUUUUCCCUGUGAUUAGCUGUUCAGUAUCGUAUGUCUUUUCCAGCAGUUCUGGCCAUUGUUGAUUCCACUAUUCAUGCUUUUUUGUUCACUUUUAAUGAACUGUAGUAUAGACAGAAACCACCUCCCAUUACCAAGCAGUUCAUGAAUAUAACUGGAAUAGAGAUGAAAACUUUUUGACCAAAACAGAAGAAAGCUAAAAAAAAAAAAAAAAAAGGCAUUCAUAAUUUGGAUGCCUAUUAAUGGUUUGUCUCAGUGAACCAUUUGAGACUAUUUGAGCACCUGAGUACAUUUCUGACCAGUAGAGGGUACUAGUGCAUGUACACAGAAGUCAGUAAGUAGCUCCAAAGAUGGCUAUAUGAGAUUCAUAGAAUCACAGAAUCAUUAAGGUUGGAACAGACCACUAAGAUGUUGCAAGAGACAUCAUCUAGUCCAACCAUCAACCCAUCACCAUGAUGCCCACUAAACCAUGUCACUAAGUGCAGCAUCUACCCUUUUCUUUGGCACCCCCCAGGGUGAGGUGCGGAGACUCCCGCACCUCCCUGGGCAGCUUGUUCCAGUACCCAGCCACCCUUUCCAAGAAGAAAUUUGUCCUAAUAUUGAACCUGAUCCUCCCCGGGUCACUUCAUUACAUGCUAGAAGUUUGGGUUAAAACUACUGAGAAAGUACUGUUGUUAACGUAAUAAGAAUUAAUAUCUUUAGCCAGUCUGCAUUGUUUUCUUUUAUAUGGAAAAGAUCUUUCUUGGUCAACAGAAUGAAUUCUAAUUUUCAGGGAGGUUGUUGUGACACGUAGUUUAGAGUAUCAACAUUGACACUGGAUGUUGGUUGCAGUCUGAUACAUCAAUAUUUUUGAGAUGGAUUUUCAGAAAACAAGGGAGCCUUGGAAACGUAUGAUCACAAUACUACUAACAUCUGUACAAGAGCAAUUUUUUUCCUUUCUAAAAUGAAGGCUGUAUCUAUAAGAAGUGCAUGCAAACAGAAUUAUUAUCAUCAGGAAUCAACAGUACAAGUGAGAUGUCAGACUAACACAGCUCUAAUACUUUUUCCACAGCUACACAGUUUAACUCUACAGUCCCUCUAAUUUGAGCCCUAAUUCAUAUCUAGACACCUAAAUAAAGCUUUGCUGAUUUUUAAAAAUGUUGAGAAA